rnacentral:tmRNA from 1 species
GGGGGUGCUCUGGUUUCGACAAGUUGGAGAAAUCUUGUGUUGCAGGUAGGCGUGAAGGUGCCUCAAACUGACAAAACAAUAACUGCAAAACGUAGAGAAGACGAAAAGUCUGAAAACGAACAGUUAGCACUCGCUGCUUAAGCAGUGCCGGAACUUAUGGGACGCUGUUCCUAGGCCUAUAACCUUCCGUCGACAACAGGAACUUGCUUGUGGCUAGGCUUGGAUGGUUACAGGGACUCUUUCCAAGAUACGGAAAAGACGCCUUUGAAGCCGCUACCUUUUCCCGACAAAUACCUCGCUUCAAUAAGCCUGUAGAGAUGCCUGGUUUGCCAGCAUGGACGGGGGUUCAACUCCCCCCACCUCCA